UACAGAGGGGGCAAGCGUUAUUCGGAAUUAUUGGGCGUAAAGGGCGCGUAGGCGGCUUUGCAAGUGACGGGUGAAAGCCCUCGGCUUAACCGAGGAACUGCCUGUCAGACUGUAAGGCUUGAGACCGGGAGAGGUGAGUGGAAUUCCCAGUGUAGCGGUGAAAUGCGUAGAUAUUGGGAGGAACACCAGUGGCGAAGGCGGCUCACUGGCCCGAUACUGACGCUGAGGCACGAAGGCCAGGGGAGCAAACGGG
rnacentral:rRNA from 1 species